UCUCUUUUGUCUUUUUCUGUUUUUGUCCUUUUCCUCUUCGUCUUCAACCUUGAGCUUGCUUCUUACCUGAACAUGAACGCCUCCAGCGCCUGCAACUAGCUGAACCAAGGAUCGCUCGGCGCCACGACUCCGGCCGCCAACCACUAACUGCCGUCCUUCGCCGUCGUAGAAACAUGACCACCUGUCGGCCAUCUACUCGACCGGCAUCGGAAACCGCCGUCUUUUUUCCUUUGUUUUUUCUUCUUCUUCCCUUUCACUCCGACGGGGACGACAAUGUCUCCUUCCACCACCACCACGCCAUCGCCAUCUCAGUCCACCACCUCGCCGCCGUUUCAGUCCUUUGUCGUCGAACUUGAGCUCGAGCUCGACCGGCGAACUUGACCCUCGAAUUUUGGAUAUAAGGUUGAGCGAGCCCUAGAAUUGUGAUCUAGAGGUUAGCUCGACCUCGAAUCUGAGUUGAUUCGGGGUCGACCAGGGUCGGCUUAGACAACGGACAAGGCCGAGGCGGCAGUGUGGUUAGUUGACGCGGCGUAGGGCCUCGAGGCGGCAGCGCUGGAGGCCGGAGGAGGAGUGGGCGAAGAUGGAGGCAUGGAUGAGGUGACGUGCCGAGGCGGCGGCGGGUGUGAGGUCGGGCUUCAGGUUGAGGAUGGAGAAGGGAACACGGGGCGGGCGGAGGAGAGAGAGAAAGAGGAAGACAAU
rnacentral:lncRNA from 1 species